rnacentral:rRNA from 1 species
GAUGAACGCUAGCGGCAGGCCUAAUACAUGCAAGCUGAACGGCAAGAUUUGUAGCAAUACGAGUCCUAGAGUAGCGUAAGGGUGCGUAACACGUAUGCAAUCUGCCCGCAACAGGAGGAUAGCUUAGCGAAAGUUGAGAUAAGACUCCAUAAGAUCACGAGAGGGCAUCUGAUUGUGAUUAAACUACAAGGGGUUGCGGAUGAGCANGCGUCUGAUU